rnacentral:rRNA from 1 species
UACGUAGGGAGCAAGCGUUGUCCGGAAUCAUUGGGCGUAAAGCGCGCGUAGGCGGCCCCGUAAGUCCGCUGUGAAAGUCAAAGGCUCAACCUUUGAAAGCCGGUGGAUACUGUGGGGCUAGAGUACGGAAGAGGCGAGUGGAAUUCCUGGUGUAGCGGUGGAAUGCGCAGAUAUCAGGAGGAACACCAAUAGCGAAGGCAGCUCGCUGGGACGUCACUGACGCUGGGGCGCGAAAGCGUGGGGAGCGAACAGG